CGGGGCGGGCGCCGCGUUCCCCGCGCCCCCGCCCGGCCCCGCCGCCCCGCCGCCCCCGCGCCCCGGCCCCUUCGCGGGCUUCCCGGGCGGGGACCCCGCGCCGCCCGCCCCGUCGCAGCGCCGCAAGCGCACGUCGUUCAGCGCCGAGCAGCUGCAGCUGCUGGAGCUCGUGUUCCGCCGGACCAUGUACCCCGACAUCCACCUGCGCGAGCGCCUGGCCGCGCUCACGCUGCUCCCCGAGUCCCGGAUCCAGGUGAGGGGGGGGGGGCUGGGGACGGGGAGCCUCAGGGUCCCGGGCGGCGAGCCGGGGCGGGCGUGCGGCGGAGCGCCUGCCUCGGGCGUCGGGUACGCUCGGGGCCCCUCGAAACGGUCAAAGCCGAGUCCUCAGCGGGAGGGGGAGAGGGAGCCCUUGGAUACUUUUUCUUUCUCCGGUUCUCCGGGAAGAGACCGAUGAGGCCCGGCUGGAUCUCCCCCCGCUGGGAGAAGGCCCCUUGGGACAGGGCCAGGCGACUCUCCGAGUCACCCCCAGGAGCCCCGAGGCCACACUCUGGGCCGGUACUGGGUCUGGAAUCUCGGGGUGUGGUUCCAGAACAGACGGGCCAAGUCGCGGCGUCAGAGCGGGAAACCCUGUCACCCCUCGGCCAGGCCGGAGCUGUUCCUCCUCCGCUCUGCUCAGGGGAGCGAAGCGAAAUGCCUAAAGCCCCAGCUGCCUCUUGAAACCGAUGGGACCUGCCCGCCCGAUCCCCACAGGCUGGGAGAGGGCAUCUCUGCCCCUCACUGCCACGGUCAGCGUUUUGAAACCUAUUGCCCCCUCUCUGAAGGCCCCGGUUCAAAGCUGGACUCCUGGGAGGAACACAUCUUUUCUGCCUUUGGAAACUCUUGAGCACAGGCGGACUCGGGCCGAGCCCACAGGAGCUGGAGGCUGGAGGCAAAGGGGACACACCUCACUCUCCCUAGAAGCCUGGAGAAGCCUCCAGGGGCCACCAGAUGGGAAAGACCUUCCACUUACCUUCCCAGACUAGCAGGCGACGUCUCUGGCCAGCAGGGCGGUUGUGCGGGUUGGAAGGUCACCCCCGGACAGUGCGCGACCUUCUCGGAGCCGCUCCUGUCUGCUCCUGUCCGUCGGGGACCAAAUGAGCCCCCCUCUCUCUCUUAAACGCUCGAGGCCCCCUCCCCCCCCCAAGUCUGAACCUUCCCCUGAUCUUGAUUCUGUACCUCUUCCUGCCCCCACGCUGUGUCUCUCUUUCUCUCAAAGAUAAGUAAAUAUUAAAAGAAAUGCGUGCAAAUGACCGUUUGCAAGUUAGCCUGAGAUAAAUGAAAAUCUUGUCUUGGUACGUGGAGACUUUGCGCCCUCCUGAGGGCCGAUGGAGACCGUAUAGGCGGUGGCCGGGGGUGAGGUCUGUGUGUAGGCUCUGCAGUCUCGACAUUACUAGAAUAGUCUGAGCUGUGUUCAGCGUCUCUACGCCAGUUGCCCUAAUUUUCAGAGGUGUCAUUCAAAUGACUCGCGCUUUUCCGAGCAGCACAUCCCCUCCGAGAAGCCAUCAGGAGACAGUUCAGGCUUUGGUGGCAGACUUGAG
rnacentral:lncRNA from 1 species